rnacentral:rRNA from 1 species
GUGGUCCCUCUUGUUUACAUUGCCGGUGUCCUUACUGGGCGCCCCAAUGUAGAGGAACUUACCCACGAUGGUAGGAAGGUGGACGUCGCUGAGGCAUUCAAGAUCGCCGGAGAUGAUGGCUGCUUCAAGCUGAACCCCAAGGAGGGGUUGGCCAUUGUGAAUGGCACGGCUGCGGCCGCCGCCCUUGCAGCCAUGGUGUUGUACGAUUGCAACAUCUUUGUUGUCCUAUCUGAUGUUUUUUCCGCAAUGUUUUGUGAGGUAAUAUAUGGCAAAUCAUAGUUUGCCGACCAUGUAAUCCACAAGCUGAAACAUCACCCUAGCAUAAUUGAGGCCGCGGCUAUCAUGGAGCACAUCCUGGCUGGCAGCCCAUUCAUGGUCUAUGGCAAGAUGGUGAACGACAUGGACCCACACCUCAAGCCAAAACAGGACAGAUAUGCGAUCCGCACCGCACCACAGUGGCUCGGCCCGCAGAUCGAGGUCGUUCGGGCGGCUACCAAGUGUAUCGAGUGUGAGAUGAACUCUAUGAGUGACAAUCCAGUCAUUGACGUGCACCGUGGCAUAGCACUCCAUGGUGGUAACUUCCAGGGAACACCCAUCAGCGUGUCCAUGGACAACACCCUCCUUGCCAUCGCCAGCAUUGGGAAGCUCAUGUUCGCGCAGUUCUCUGAGCUCGUGAAUGAGUUCUACAACAAUGGCAUGACAUCAAACCUGGCUGGCAGUUGGGACCCGAGCUUAGACUAUGGUCUGAAAGGCAUUGAGAUCGCCAUGGCCGCCUAUUGCUCGGAGCUCCAGUACCUUGCCAACCCGUUGACAACCCAUGUCCAAAGUGCCGAGCAGCACAACCAGGGGGUGAACUCACUCGGCCUUGUCUCAGCCAGGAAGACUGCGGAGGCGGUGGACGUAUUGAAGCUCAUGUCCUCGACGUACCUGGUGGCACUUUGCCAGGCCGUCAACCUUCACCACCUGGAGCAAAACAUCAAAAUCUUUGUCAACAGAUGUGUGGUGCAAGCUGCUAAGAAAGUGGUCGACGCCACCGGUGUUGAGAAGAAGCUCGCGGCCGUCGUCAACCGCGUGGACGUUUUGAGGUACACUGACAACCCAUGCAACGCCAACUACCCCCUGAUGCACAAGCUGUGCAGUGUGCUCCUCGAGCACGCUCUUGCUAGCAGGAGCUCUGACGGCAAGGUGUUGUCCAAGAUCAGAGGAGGAGUUAGUGUAGCGUUGCCACGGGAGGUCGAAGCGGCGCGUGUGGCCGUAGAGAUGGGCAGUGCACCCAUCACAAACAUGACCAGGGGGAGCAGGUCAUUCCCGCUCUAUCAGUUUGUUCGUGAGGAACUCGGAUGCGUGUUUCUGACCAGGGAGAAGCUUCUCGCACCCGACGAAGAGUGUGACAAGGUGUUCGUGGGGAUCAGCCAAGGCAAGCUCAUUGACCCCAUGCUUGAGUGCCUGAAAGAGUGGAACGGUGAGCCUCUGCCCAUCAACUAA